AGCAGCCGCGGUAAUUCCAGCUCCAAUAGCGUAUAUUAAAGUUGUUGCAGUUAAAAAGCUCGUAGUUGAAUUUCGGGGUUAGCAGGUCGGUCGUGCCUUUGGUAUGAACUGGUCUCGCUGAUCCCUCCCUCUUGACGAACUGUGAUGCCAUUAAUUUGGUGUCGUAGGGAAUCAGGACUGUUACUUUGAAAAAAUUAGAGUGUUUAAAGCAGGCUUUCGCUUGAAUACAUUAGCAUGGAAUAAUGAAAUAGGACGUUUGAUCCUAUUUUGUUGGUUUCUAGGAUUGACGUAAUGAUUAAUAGGGAUAGUUGGGGGCAUUAGUAUUCAAUUGUCAGAGGUGAAAUUCUUGGAUUUAUUGAAGACUAACUACUGCGAAAGCAUUUGCCAAGGAUGUUUUCAUUAAUCAAGAACGAAAGUUAGGGGGAUCGAAGACGAUCAGAUACCGUCGUAGUCUUAACCAUAAACUAUGCCGACUAGGGAUCGGAUGAUGUUAAUUUUUAAUGACUCAUUCGGCGCCUUA
rnacentral:rRNA from 1 species